rnacentral:rRNA from 1 species
AGACCCGAAACCCGGUGAUCUAGCCAUGGGCAGGUUGAAGGUUGGGUAACACUAACUGGAGGACCGAACCGACUAAUGUUGAAAAAUUAGCGGAUGACCUGUGGCUGGGGGUGAAAGGCCAAUCAAACCGGGAGAUAGCUGGUUCUCCCCGAAAGCUAUUUAGGUAGCGCCUCGUGAAUUCAUCUCCGGGGGUAGAGCACUGUUUCGGCUAGGGGGCCAUCCCGGCUUACCAACCCGAUGCAAACUGCGAAUACCGGAGAAUGUUAUCACGGGAGACACACGGCGGGUGCUAACGUCCGUCGUGAAGAGGGAAACAACCCAGACCGCCAGCUAAGGUCCCAAAGUCAUGGUUAAGUGGGAAACGAUGUGGGAAGGCCCAGACAGCCAGGAUGUUGGCUUAGAAGCAGCCAUCAUUUAAAGAAAGCGUAAUAGCUCACUGGUCGAGUCGGCCUGCGCGGAAGAUGUAACGGGGCUAAACCAUGCACCGAAGCUGCGGCAGCGAACGUAUCACUUAAAGCGAUUCAGCGGGUUACGAUUGACGGAGCGAAGCGACGUCAAAGCGUAUACAAAGUCGAGUCGGUUUAAGGAUACGUUCGUUGGGUAGGGGAGCGUUCUGUAAGCCUGUGAAGGUGGCCUGUGAGGGU